GACGAACGCCGGCGGCGUGCCUAAUACAUGCAAGUAGAACGCUGAAGAGAGGAGCUUGCUCUUCUUGGAUGAGUUGCGAACGGGUGAGUAACGCGUAGGUAACCUGCCUUGUAGCGGGGGAUAACUAUUGGAAACGAUAGCUAAUACCGCAUAACAAUGGAUGACACAUGUCAUUUAUUUGAAAGGGGCAAUUGCUCCACUACAAGAUGGACCUGCGUUGUAUUAGCUAGUAGGUGAGGUAACGGCUCACCUAGGCGACGAUACAUAGCCGACCUGAGAGGGUGAUCGGCCACACUGGGACUGAGACACGGCCCAGACUCCUACGGGAGGCAGCAGUAGGGAAUCUUCGGCAAUGGGGGCAACCCUGACCGAGCAACGCCGCGUGAGUGAAGAAGGUUUUCGGAUCGUAAAGCUCUGUUGUAAGUCAAGAACGAGUGUGAGAGUGGAAAGUUCACACUGUGACGGUAGCUUACCAGAAAGGGACGGCUAACUACGUGCCAGCAGCCGCGGUAAUACGUAGGUCCCGAGCGUUGUCCGGAUUUAUUGGGCGUAAAGCGAGCGCAGGCGGUUUGAUAAGUCUGAAGUUAAAGGCUGUGGCUCAACCAUAGUUCGCUUUGGAAACUGUCAAACUUGAGUGCAGAAGGGGAGAGUGGAAUUCCAUGUGUAGCGGUGAAAUGCGUAGAUAUAUGGAGGAACACCGGUGGCGAAAGCGGCUCUCUGGUCUGUAACUGACGCUGAGGCUCGAAAGCGUGGGGAGCGAACAGG
rnacentral:rRNA from 1 species